rnacentral:rRNA from 1 species
UCGUAGUCCGGAUUGGAGUCUGCAACUCGACUCCAUGAAGUCGGAAUCGCUAGUAAUCGUGGAUCAGAAUGCCACGGUGAAUACGUUCCCGGGCCUUGUACACACCGCCCGUCACACCAUGGGAGUGGGUUGCAAAAGAAGUAGGUAGCUUAACCUUCGGGGGGGCGCUUACCACUUUGUGAUUCAUGACUGGGGUGAAGUCGUAACAAGGUAACCGUAGGGGAACCUGCGGUUGGAUCACCUCCUUACCUUAAAGAAGC